AACCUGCCGCAUGCAGGGGGAUACCGGCUGGAAACAGCCGCUAAUACCGCAUAUGCGCACAGCGCCGCAUGGCGCAGUGCGGAAAGGGAGCAAUCCCGGCAUGCGAUGGGUCCGCGUCCGAUUAGCUUGUUGGCGGGGCAGCGGCCCACCAAGGCGACGAUCGGUAGCCGGCCUGAGAGGGCGGACGGCCACAUUGGGACUGAGACACGGCCUAGACUCCUACGGAAGGCAGCAG
rnacentral:rRNA from 1 species